CAAGUCGAACGGAGAAUUUUAUUUCGGUAGAAUUCUUAGUGGCGAACGGGUGAGUAACGCGUAGGCAACCUGCCGAUAACUCGGGGAUAGCCUUUCGAAAGAAAGAUUAAUACCCGAUGGUAUAAUCAGACCGCAUGGGGCAGGGGUCAAAGGAGGAAUCCGGAUAAAGAUGGGCUCGCGUCCGAUUAGCUAGUUGGUGAGAUAACAGCCCACCAAGGCGACGAUCGGUAGCCGACCUGAGAGGGUGAUCGGCCACAUUGGAACUGAGAGACGGUCCAGACUCC
rnacentral:rRNA from 1 species